CCUCCAUCUCCACUCAUAUUUUUCCCCUUCUGUUCUUCUUUUUCCCUCUCUUCUCCUCCUCCCCUUUACCUCCGAUGGGGUUCUUGACAGUAGGGGAGCUGAAGCCCCCUGCACCCUCCCCUAAUCUGCCCCUGCUUAUUACCUGACUCGAUGAAUUGAUGGUGCAGGGAGCUUUGGCGUGGUGGCUAGCGAGGUGCUAUGGCUAGCCGCCUUUUUCGGCAAUAUCAGUGGCCUGUGCUGUUGGUGAGCGAAGUCAGAUUUUGUGUUAAUCUCAAGCUCAACAUAUCAGAUGUCAUUCUUCAGCAAAGGGAGCUUUGGCGUGGUGGCUAGCCAGGUGUUGAAUUGCGGUGUCAACUCGAUGGAUUGAUGAUGCGGGGAGCUUUGGCGUGGUGGCUAGCCAGCUGCUAUGGGCUGGCCGCCUUCUUCGGCGGCGUCGCGGUUUGUGUUGUCAGUGAGCGAGGUCAAAUAUUUAAGGAAGCGUGGUAAACUAUAGGGAUGUGGAGUUGGAAACCCAUUUCCUUUCUUACUCUGUUCUACCUUUUUUUGUUCUCUGUCUUUGUUCUAGAUAUACUGGUUUAAGUUAGUUUUGUUUUGUUUUAGAUAGAUUGAUUUGACUUAGUUUUGUUUGUUUUUAUUUUAGACAAUCUGAUUUCCAUGAAGAACGACACCUAAACCUUUAUAA